rnacentral:rRNA from 1 species
CCUACGGGAGACAGCAGUAGGGAAUAUUGCUCAAUGGGGGAAACCCUGAAGCAGCAACGCCGCGUGGAGGAUGAAGGUUUUCGGAUUGUAAACUCCUUUUGUUAGAGAAGAUAAUGACGGUAUCUAACGAAUAAGCACCGGCUAACUCCGUGCCAGCAGCCGCGGUAAUACGGAGGGUGCAAGCGUUACUCGGAAUCACUGGGCGUAAAGAGCGCGUAGGCGGGAUAGAAAGUCAGAUGUGAAAUCCUAUGGCUUAACCAUAGAACUGCAUUUGAAACUGUUAUUCUAGAGUAUGGGAGAGGUAGGUGGAAUUCGUGGUGUAGGGGUAAAAUGCGUAGAGAUCAAGAGGAAUACUCAUUGCGAAGGCGACCUGCUAGAACAUAACUGACGCUGAUGCGCGAAAGCGUGGGGAGCAAACAGGAUUAGAUACCCCGGUAGUC